UACGAAGGGGGCUAGCGUUGUUCGGAAUCACUAGGCUUAAAGCGUGCGCAGGCGGAUAUGAAAGUCAGGAGUGAAAUCACAGGGCUCAACCCUGGAAUUGCUUUUGAAACUCCAUAUCUAGAAUCCGGUAGAGGUUAGUGGAAUUCCGAGUGUAGAGGUGAAAUUCGCAGAUAUUCGGAGGAACACCAGUGGCGAAGGCGACUAACUGGACCGGUAUUGACGCGCAGGCACGAAAGCGUGGGGAGCAAACAGG
rnacentral:rRNA from 1 species